CGUGCUUAACACAUGCAAGUCGAACGAGAAGAGAUGAGAAGCUUGCUUCUUAUUAAUUCGAGUGGCAAACGGGUGAGUAACGCGUAAGCAACCUGCCCUUCAGAUGGGGACAACAGCUGGAAACGGCUGCUAAUACCGAAUACGUCUUUUUGUCGCAUGGCAGAGGGAAGAAAGGGAGGCUCUUCGGAGCUUUCGCUGAAGGAGGGGCUUGCGUCUGAUUAGCUAGUUGGAGGGGUAACGGCCCACCAAGGCGAUGAUCAGUAGCCGGUCUGAGAGGAUGAACGGCCACAUUGGGACUGAGACACGGCCCAGACUCCUACGGGAGGCAGCAGUGGGGAAUCUUCCGCAAUGGGCGAAAGCCUGACGGAGCAAUGCCGCGUGAGUGAUGAAGGAAUUCGUUCCGUAAAGCUCUUUUGUUUAUGACGAAUGUGCAGAUUGUGAAUAAUGAUCUGUAAUGACGGUAGUAAACGAAUAAGCCACGGCUAACUACGUG
rnacentral:rRNA from 1 species